CUUAACAUGCAGUCGAACGGCAGCACGGGGGCAACCCUGGUGGCGAGUGGCGAACGGGUGAGUAAUACAUCGGAACGUGUCCUGUAGUGGGGGAUAGCCCGGCGAAAGCCGGAUUAAUACCGCAUACGCUCUACGGAGGAAAGGGGGGGAUCUUCGGACCUCUCGCUACAGGGGCGGCCGAUGGCAGAUUAGCUAGUUGGUGGGGUAAAGGCCUACCAAGGCGACGAUCUGUAGCUGGUCUGAGAGGACGACCAGCCACACUGGGACUGAGACACGGCCCAGACUCCUACGGGAGGCAGCAGUGGGGAAUUUUGGACAAUGGGGGCAACCCUGAUCCAGCAAUGCCGCGUGUGUGAAGAAGGCCUUCGGGUUGUAAAGCACUUUUGUCCGGAAAGAAAACUUCUGCCCUAAUACGGCGGGAGGAUGACGGUACCGGAAGAAUAAGCACCG
rnacentral:rRNA from 2 species